rnacentral:tRNA from 1 species
GGGUUUUGGCUCAGUGGUAAAGUGCUUGCUCAGCAUGUAUGAGGCACUGGGUUCCAUUCUCAGCAGUGCA